ensembl:snRNA U5 U5 spliceosomal RNA
UAGCUCGAGUUUCUCUUCAUUGUCGCAUAAAUCUUUCGCCUUUUACUAAAGAUUUCCGUGGAGGGGAACUUUUGCGAGUGACAUGUAUUUUUGGGUGCUCUGCUCACUGCAGAGCU